AACAACCCGCCAGUGAGGAAAAAGUAUGCCAAAAAUAUUUUCAUUCGGGGAUUAAAACUACGAGUUGGUCAACAAAAAACGAUUUCCAGUAUGCAAAGAAUGCGGUUGGAAGAUUACAGACGGAGACGCAACAACUUCCUACUUCGUUUGACAUUUCAAGAUGCACAAUGAAGGGAACUCGCAUGGCUGCCGUUCUCGUGACCCCAAGAUGCAGGAACCAGGAGAAAGAAGAGAAGGCCCAUUAAGGAGGAUAAGGACUCCCCGGAGACGGUCCUCGGUCUGUGCUCGCCCCGUCACGUUUUGCACCGCCGUCGCCAUGGUGACCAUGGGUGGAUGUGUAGUUGCUACAGAG